UCCCUGCUGGCUCAGAAGGUAAAGAAUCUGCUUGCAGUGCAGCAGACCCGAGUUCAAUCCCUGGGUGGGGAA
rnacentral:tRNA from 1 species